AACCCAUGCAUCGGACACUUCCGUAGCAAAUCCUUGAAUCUCUCCCAUGCUUUAUACAAGUUUUCUUCCUCAAGUUGCUUGAAGGAUGUGAAGUCAUUUUUCAGCUC